AGAUCCUGGAGUGGCAAGUCCGAAGUCCUCGGAAGCAGCCGGUUUGGCGGUUCCAGAUCAACAGGAUCCUGGAGUUUCACAUUGGGAGUCCACAUUUAAUGGAGUGAACACUGGUAAGGGCAACUCUAGUCCUGGCACGGCACUCACAGGGAGGAAGGGGCACACUGAAGGGGUGACUGGCUUACUAACAGGCCAACAAGCAUUUUUACAGUCUUGGGGGAGGCACAGGGGCCAAGGACCCACAAACUGUGUCGGGGGCGUGGGUGCGCAAUGCUGAGACACCUGGGGGGGGACUGAUUCUGCACUGGUGGCUGACAACACGGCGGGGAUGAGAGUAUCUAAGGUAGGGCAGGGCUAGGAGAGCGCGCAGGCAGUAUUAGAAGGGGUACUGGACGCAGCUCGCCUCAAUUCUUAUGUCUCUUUCUCUGGCCACCUGGGGGUCCAUUUGAAGGCAGAUGUCAAGGAGUGCAUCUGGAAGGGUGAGUACUUAAAGAUGUUCUCGUUGCUUCCUCUCAAAGAAACGGUGGACCUAAAAGAGGAUGAGAAAAAAGAGGAUAAGGGCAAGAAUUAGGAGGAGGAGAGAAAGAAAAGAUAUAGGAAGUUGCCAAAGACCUUUGGGAAAUGGCUCUGGGUUUCUGUAUCUUGGCCAGCGUAAUUGGUGAAAAGGCGCCGGACAAGUGUUCGGCUCUCUUUUGUUAUUUGGAAGGGAUUUGGGACACCUAUAGGAUCUAUGACAGGCUGGUCUGGUGGUGCUAUGACGAGCAAUUUUGUCAGAGCCUGGCAGAGAAUCCUGGUAUGCACUGGGAUCAAAUGGACAUCACCUUGUGUCUUAAGCUCAUGAUGGCCCAGAAGGCUUCGCCCUUUCCCGGGGGUGGGAGGUGGAAGGGGCAUGGGUGCAAGCACCUCCUCAUCGGCCUCAGGGAGGAAGGAUGUUGCUGGCUGUUUAACAACAGCCAGUGUAAUUGGGGUUCCUCCUCCUCCUGCAGGUUCAGGCAUAAAUGUUAAGGAUGCAGGGGUUCCCAUAGCCUCUCUAAGUCUUUCAAGUGGGGAAGGACAAGUGGGUCGGUGAGGCAGUUGGGGACAAAAGGGGAGUACGCUGGUGAUCAGAGAAAAGAUGCUACUGUGGCUAAACCGCUACGGUAGGAAGGGUGACGCCGAGUUUCUGGGUCAGGGUUUCGAGGGGGGGUUUAGAAUCCCAUUUAUUCUGUGGGAGUCGGUGGUAUCCUUAAAAAACCUUUGGUCGGUGGCUACAUUUCUGGAUGUGGUGCGGGAAAAGUUGAAGUGGGAGGUGGGUUUAGGGCGCAUGGCAGUGCCGUUUUGCCUCCGUUCCGUUGCCCAAUUUAAGAGUUAAGUCGUUGGGGUUAGUCCCUAAGAGGGAAAAACGUUUUGCUUGAUACACCAUCUGUCCUUCCCCAAGGGUCUUUCAGUUAAUGCAGACAUUGAUCAGUUAAUACGGACAUUGAUUAAAAUGGGCCAGUUAUGGGACAUGAUUUUUUGUACUGAGUCCCAGUAUUGGUCAAAUGUGCUCAGGAGCAUGUUUAAAAACAAAGGGUAUCCCAACAAAACCCUAAAAAGAGACUACCAACGAGCAAUGACAAUAAACAGAAGUGAAAACCUAAGAACCAUCAGACCGAAGGCAGAAACAAAGACAAUUAGGUGUGUGGGCACAUUUGACCAAUACUGGGACUCAGUACAAAAAAUCAUGUCCCAUAACUGGCCUAUUUUACAACAUGAUACAGAUUUGAAUAAAAAUAUUGGCAAUUUUCCUCAAAUUACGGCACGCAGAGCUAAGAAUCUGAGAGACUAUUUGGUCCGCAGCCAUAUAGAACCAACAACAAAAAAAGCACAAUCCACAUGGUUAACACAAACCCGUGGAAUUUAUCGUUGCGGACACUGCAAAGCCUGCCAAUAUGUUAAAAUCCGUAUCAAGCUCCAAAACAAAAAAAGAAUAUAAGAUUAAAGAGUUUAUUAACUGUAGCUCCACACAGUUUAUCUACCUAAUAACAUGCAGCUGUGGGAUCCAAUAUGUAGGGAAGACCUACCAACAACUAAGAUGUAGGAUCCUGCAACACAUUUGCUCCAUUACAAACCCCAACAUAUCUACUCCAGUCUUUAACCACGUCAGGAACUACCAUCAGGCAGGGCCGGAUUAAGAGCAUACUGGGCCUGGUGCUGACAAAUAUGAUGGGCCUAAUUACGGAAUCUUUUCAACCAAAAACACUAAAACAGUCAUACCUUCCAAGCGUCAUGUAUCUGAUGGAGAUGGUGUUAGAAGGAAAAUCAAAGGAUGCAGCUAUAUGAAAACACAUACUCUAUGCUAAUCUCUCUCUAAUUUAUGUUUUCAUCUUUCAAGUAAAUCCAUAACCCCUAACAGCAGUGUCCAGUGAAAUAGGAAGUCAAUGGGCGAGGUAAAAGGGUGUGCCACUGGUGCAAAUCACGUGACCAGACCUGCCAAAAGGGGUGAACAUGCCCAGAAAGGGGGCAUGUCUGUCCAAAGAAUUUGAAGGACAGCCUGGCAUGAAUGCAUGUCAGGCUGCCCGCCAAUCCUGCAGGCUGUCCAACUAAGGGCAUACUAUGCAGGCAGCACCAUGAGCUUGACAUAAAUGCAUCUAAUGAUGCGCUCACUCCGUGCUUUCUAAGGACUGUCCCCUAGCACACGCUGGUCCACUUGUCUCCUUACCUUCUUACUAGCAGGCAGAAGUUCCUGGUAUAUAGUCUGAGACAGAGUAAAGGUGUAUGUAGUGAGUGUAGUGUUUGUAGUGAGUGUAGUGUAUGUAGUGAGUGUAGAAGAAAGGGGACAUGCCACAGUGUUAGAGAGACCAGCGUCUGCAUUACCUAAACUAAUUUUAUUGUCAGCUAGUCCACACAAGUUUUGUUCCCAUACAUCCCUCUUAAGCUUCCAAACUUAAAGGGACACUAUAGUCACCAGAAGAACUACAGCUUAUUGUAUUUGUUCUGGUAAGUAGAAUCAUUCCAUUCAGGCCUUUUGCAGUAAACACUGUCUUUUCAGAGAAAAUAACUCCACUGGCCACUCCUUAGAUGGCUGCUAGAGGUGCUUCCUGGGGCAGUACUGCCUAGUGUGCAGCACUGCCAUUCAGUGUCUCCAUCCUCUGCAUGCAGACACUGAAAUUUCCUCAUAGAGAUACAUUGAUUCAAUUUAUCUUUAUGAGGAGAUGCUGAUUGGCCAGGGCUAUGUUAGACUUGUGCUGGCUCUGCCCCUGAUCUGCCUAGUUGACAGUCUCAGCCAAUCCUAUGGGGAAGUAUUGUAAUUUGCUCAGACCACCACUUCUGAUGAUGUCAGUAGACAGUGAAUUCAGAGGCAGAGCCAGCAGCUGCAGACUUGAAUACAAGUUAUAUUUUACUAUACUUAGGGAGGCAAGAAGGGGCCAGGGUGUUGGUUUUUACAUAAUCGAGUCAGAAAUACAUGAUUGUGUUCCUGACCCUAUAGUGCUCCUUUAAGCAAGAGUAUGUGAAGAGUAGUUAGGGUUGCCACCUUUCUUGGAAAAAAAUACCAGCCUUAAUAAUUUGUAUAAUCACAAGGAGUGACAUCAGAGAAAAUUCUGUAAAAUCACCAACAAACUACUCACAGUUUGAUUCUGCUGUAAAGAUGGAUUGCUCCCAGUGUCUCAGUCUCGCAAGUCACCCAGUGUCUCAGUGUCCCUAUGUAUCACAGUGUCAGUGUCCCCAUGUCGCCCAGUCCCCUAGUCUCCCAGUGUCUCAGUGUCCCCAUUUCUCCCAGUGUCCCAAUGUCUCAGUGUGUCCCCAUGUCUCAGUGUGUCCCCAUGUCACUAGGAUACUGGGGACACAGUGAGACAUGGGGACACAGAGACCCGGGGACACGGAGACAUGGGGACAUGGGGACACUGAGACAUUUAGGGAAACUGGGAGAAAUGGGGACACAGACACCAGGGACACAGACACUGGGAGACAUGGGGACACUGCAACAUUUGGGGACACUAAGACACUAGGGACACAGAGACAUGGGAACACAGACACUGGGAGACUAUGGGACACUGGGAGACAUGGGACACUGGCUGGAAGACAGACACUUGGGGACACUGGGAGACAUGGGGACAGUUGCGGGCAUAGACAUGGGGACACUGGGACAUAUAGGGACACUGGGAGACAUGGGGACACAAGGCACACUGAGACACUAGGAACACAGAGACUGGGAGACAUAGGGACACUUAAACAUUUGGGGACACUAAGACACUAGGGACACAGAGACAUUGGGACACUGGGAGACUUGGGGACAGUUGUGGACAUAGACAUGAGGACACUGGGACAUAUAGGGACACUGGGACACAUGGGGACACUAGGCACACUGAGAGACACGGGACACAGACACUGUGAGACUUAGGGACACUGAGACACUAGCGACACUGGAUGGGGGACAUGGGGACACUGGGAGAAAUGGGGACAUAGUGUCUCCAUGUCCCAAUGUCUCAGUGUCUCUCAAUAUUCCCAUGUGUCCCAGUGUCCCCUAGUGUCUCAGUGUCCCCAUGUUUUCCAGUGUCCCCAAGUGUCUCAGUGUUUCCAGGUCUCCCAGUGCCUGUGUCCCCAUGUAUCCUAGUGUCUCAGUGUCCCCUAGUGUCUGUGUCCCCAUGUGUCCCCUAGAGUCUGUGUCCCCUAGUGUCUCAGUGUCCCCAUAUGUCCCCUAGUGUCUCAGUGUCCCCUAGUGUCUCAGUGUCCACAUGUGUCCCCUAGUGUCUCAGUGUCCCCAUGUGUCCCCCAGUGUCCCCAUCCCUCACUUACCUGAGCUGUAGAGCUGCUGUCUGGACUCUGUGCUGUGUUGCUGCUCCCCCAUGGAUCAGUAAGUAGUAGAGAGAGGCAGGGAUAUGCUGUAACUUCCUAUCCCUGCCUCUCUCCACACAGUGACCCCUAUUGGCUGGUGCUGGUAUUGCAGAGUAAUCUCCAUUUAUUCUGAGAAAAAUACCUGCAAUUGUAUUGCUGGUAUUACUGCAAUACCGGCAUGGCCAGGCAGCCUCAAAUACCGGCUGUGCCAGUAAAAUACCAGUCAGGUGGGAAACCUAAGAGUAGUGUGUAAAAAAAAAAAAAUCUUUUUUUUAGAUGGGCCUAUUCCAUGCAGCUCCAUCAGCCCCUAUGUUAAUCCGGCCCUGCCAUCAGGGCAACCCUAAACAUCUGACAUGUCAGGCCCUAGAGAAAUUAACAAUGAACACCAGAAAAGGGGACUUUAAUAAAAUAUUACUUAUGAAAGAAUCCAGAUGGAUUUACCAUCUUAAAACACUCACACCAAAUGGUCUUAACGAAGAAUUCAAUUUCACUCCCUUUAUACACAAAUGACGAAUGUGAGUGAGGCAUGUUCUAUUAAAGGAAGCAAUCAUUCUUUAAUUUCAAAUAUUAAGUAAACACACACCAAUACUAUUUAGUAUAAGGUGUAUAAAUAUAGUUGACACGUAAUUCGAUUUAUCUACAACAUAGUCAUAUAUAUUACUAUACAUAUGGUCACAAUAACAAACUACCAUAACCACAUCAGAGACUUUGAUUACAGUCACACCUGAGAUCAAAGACUAUGAAAUUAGGAAUCUUUUGAUAAAUAGCUGCUACUGUAUGCAUCACCAAUCUCUCAGGAAUAAGUUUCAUAAAUCUCAGUACAUUUAGAAUAGCCAUUACAAACCUCUAUGUAUAUCUGUUCGCUAAAUCAGAAUAUUCCUUCAGGACAUAACACUAGCCGUUUACCAGGGAGACAAAAUGUAUCUCCCUAAAUGUUUAUUAUCAUAUCUCCCUAAACGGUUAUUAUCAUAUUCACAUAAAACAGUUAGAAAGUUUCUAAAUCUUUCAAUACACAGUUGCCAUUUGUGGCAUCCUUAACUUCUUAGGGUUAAGCAUUACUUCGUCAUUAAUAUCAUAUUAUAUAUAGAAAAAUCCCUUUUUUCUUUCUACAAAAAACGACAAUGAGCAGAACACAAUUAUCUCCUAACAAUAAGAUCUUUAGGUUUCCGUUAAACAUUAUCUGUUUGGUAAUUUCCAAAAUAAAACUAAUACCAACACAUUUAUAGUCCUAACUAUUUCACUUAUAGAAGUAAGCAAUUAACUCCAAGUGACUAAUAUAAGCUUACUAAUGUCUUUUUUAUAUCCAGGAAGUGGUUCAUUCAGCUGUUAAUUCAGCUCACUUAGGUGAUUCCCCUCCUGAGUUAAGUGACUCAAUUACAUCGUCACAUACGUAUUUUAAACCUACCAAUUAAAAAUCUUCGCACUGAACCAAUGAGAGAGGAUUUCUCCUCCUAUUUUAAUUCAGCGCUCUGUACCGGCCGGUUCUCUUCUGACGAGCCAGGUCGGGCGAAACGCGCACGUCAAGGGGUCCUAUCUGUGCUAUCUUCAUGAUCUAGAAAUAGCACAGGGACUUGCUACCGUGCUUUUUAUAAAUUAACUUAUUACUUUUUAUUUUUCCUUAAUCUCCUCCACUAUUUGGUAUAUGAUUCGAAUUAUUAGAUACCUUAGCCUAGCGGGUUUAUAGCUCAGUAUUAGAAGGUGCUUGGCUGGUUCUGACUUUAGUGUUAUAUUACAGCAGUGUCCUAUUUACCACCACUACCACUAUUUAGUUCAUCGUGAGGCUUUAUUUCAACCCUCUCUGUUCUCACAUUAGCGUCUGGCUACAUUCAUCCCAGACAUUAUCUGAGGCAGAGUCCCAGCAAGAAUUCCAUUCACCUGCUAUUGAUUGUGCUUAGUUUUAUCUGCUAUCUCGGCACAGUAGAUUUUCAGAUACAUCAUUUUAUCAUAAUAGACACUCCAGGAGUAUAGUGCGAUCUAUAUCUCUGAUUAUUAAGCCAUCAGCACAGCUCCACAGUAUUCUACUAUUUCAUAAUUUUUUAGGACUAUUUCCAUUCCAAUACUUAGUAACUAUUUAUUACUGCUCUAUAUACUAUUUGAGACAGUUGCUCUGAGUUACUUAAAUUAGAUAUACUCAGAGAUCGAUUUUGGUAUCUAUGGUGACAUAUAUUCUCAUGUCCCUAGUCUAAUGCCUAGCUUGCUUUACAGCUAAACCCUGCUAUAUAACUAUAUUUAUACCAGUCCAUCAAUACUACUACUUGCAACACUAUCUCUAUAUAUACCACUUGAACCAGCCUAUCAGUAGAAUAGGCUCUAUCCCAGUUCUUUCUUGUUUUCUCUAUGUAAAUUAUGGUGGAACAAACUUAGAGCUCAAAUUCUAGGUUUUGUUUUGGUCAGAACUUGUAUAGUUGCCUCUGUCUUAAGGAGUUAAAUUACAAUAAAUAUGUUUAGUUGUCAAGAUAUAUUGUUGUUGUUCUAAAUUAUAUUUCAGUUGCAUACAUUUUGAUUAGUAAGUCACCUAAAAUUUCUCAAAACACAAUUUCUCUUAUUGGGAGAAAGGGGAUAAAUGCUUACCUUUCUCCAGUGCUGGGCUCCCUCGGCAGGAGCCACGCGCGCAUUCAGUCAGUCCAUAGGAAAGCAUUAUCAAUGCUUUCCUAUGGACGCUGGCGUCUUCUCACUGUGAAAAUCACAGUAAGAAGCGCGAAAGCGCCUCUAGCGGCUGUCAAUGAGACAGCCACUAGAGGCUGGAUUAACCCAUAUGUAAACAUAGCAGUUUCUCUGAAAUUGCAAUGUUUACAGCAGGCAGGGUUAACCCUAGAUGGACCUGGCACCCAGACCACUUCAUUGAGCUGAAGUGGUCUGGGUGCCUAUAGUGGCCCUUUAAUAAUUUAAGCAGCAAUCUCCCUUGUGGCUGUGACUGACUUUGCUGUAAAAAUGUUAGUGAAAUUUCCCUUGUGGGUGUAGCUUGAGGCUGAUAGGAGUAAAUUUUACAAAUUCUGAAGGUGGACUUAUGGAUGAAAGAUGAAGCUCUGGGAGAAAGAGAUUGUCCCCAUUUUCCCACAGCAUCUUCUCUGUGUUCUUCCUUGCCUAUAGUUUGUUGUCUCUCUUCAGCUUCUUCCUUUAUCACUGUGUGGCACAUUAGCCUGCUGCAGUCACAGAAAGUAAAAAAGCGCAGCAGAAUCUGUUUUUUAAGGUCACAAUAGGUUAAGGAGUGCGACACUACCAUGUCAAAUGAAUAGGAUAUCAUCUACCUGUUUAUACUUUUUAUAUAGACGGAUGUUGCCAUUGCACUUGUGUUUGCUCUAGAUACAAUGCUUUUUCCAAUUACUCAUUGUAACGGAGCUCCUUGUACUCCGACUGAGUACCCUCCGUUGACGGAUGCUCCUAGCGCUUCCUGAGGACUCCAAGCGCUGCAGCAGACACCACAACCACCACAACCGCGGUAUCUUGACUGGAGUCUCGCCGUCUUCCUUCCACCCUGGAUCAGCUUCUGUCCUCCAGGACUGUGUGGGAAAGAACUCUUCCUUCCACCCUGUAUGAACCUCCAGCAUCCAGGACUGUGUGGUGAAGACCCCUCCUCCAAGGAGAGCGUGUCAGGAACAAGCUCUUAAAAGAGCUAAGUGACUCAAGCUCAGGGGAGCAUGCAGAGCAUAGCAAUCCCCAGUGUGAUUAUAACAGCUCCCUCCAAUAACGAGACAAGGCUACGUUUAGAGGGAUCAAGAAGAACUUUCAAAACCUUUAUUCCCUUGGGACCAGCCAAUACAGUCACCACAAUAACAUUGUUGUGAAACCUCAAUAAAAUCACAAACAGUCAAACCAUAUCAAGAAACACACAGUGACUUAUCACAACACAAUGGCACAUUUUUAAAGGGGUGGGGGGAGACAAUAUUUAACAGUAAAUAUCUCACCUGCCUGCAGAAUUAGCAAUAUGCAAAUCUACCCGAAUAUGCAAAUGAACCAGUCUUGCAAUUCAGGUAGUGCAUAUUGCUGUUGCUACCAACAGAGGGCACUAGACCAGCUCCAUAGCCAAACCCACCUAGUUGGUAGCAAACCUCAGCAAUACAAGAGAGCAGGCAAUACAUUACACAGUACACACACACACACUAUAAACAAUUACAUUACACACACCCUGCACCUAUAAUGGGUACAGGGUGACUAAAACAUAGGAUAAAUAAAGCAGCCCACAUAAAUAGUCUGUCUGAAGGUAGACUAGGGGCUUUAAAGCCAGAUAGAUGAAAGAGUCACAGUCACAGGGGAGGAGGCUGGCAAGUAGGCCUCUCCAGGACCAAGUGGCGAAGGGCACUUCGUCACACUCAUGAAUAGAUUGGCAAAGCUAGGGACAAUUUUAUUCUGCAUAGCUGUGCCUUUGUUUUGUAUGCAAUAUUUAUCUUAAAAACAGAAGUAAUUAUUUGUGAGGAUAAGUGAGAUUCCUUUAUGGUAGAAAUUCUAGCUGAAGGUCAUCAAGGUCUUGUCUUUUUCAGAGCAUUACAUCCUUUAUCGUGGUCUAGUAUGGUGUAUAAAAUAGACACAUCUGGUGCCAUGUACAGGUACCCUUCUGACUAUUAGUCAAAUCCCUUAUGAUGUUGGUGGUGUCCUUCAGAUGUAUCCUUACUAUACUUACAUAUGGCUAUAGAAGGUAGUAGAUAUAUUCUGAUAGGCCUGAUGUAAAUGAGACAAAUCUGGAAAUAAUGCAUAUACCUGGUGGUCUCUUCGGAUUUUUGCCAAUCUAUUUAUAGUGAUUAGAAAAACCAUUACAUCUGGAGCAAACACAAUUGGAACGACAAUGUCCGUCUUUAUAAAAGGUAUAUAGAUGACAUCUUAUUAAUUUGUCAUGGUAGUGCCGCACUAUUGCAGGACUUUUGUAACCUAGUUCAAUGGGAAUACACGAGGAGAACACCUCAACACCAAAUACAGUGAAGAAGAAGUAGAAUUUUUAGAUCUAGUUAUUUAUACAAUAAAGAACAAUACUAAGACCAAGAUAUUGGAUAGUGGAUGUCAAAAGUAUCAGACAUAUUAUGCCAGCUCUCUUGAAUAAGAUUACUCUCUUGAAUCAUCACUCUACUGAAUCAUGUCUCUCUUUGUUGAAUGUGAAUUCUGGAUUUAUCACCCUACCAUUACUCUUUCAUAGAAACAUAGAAUGUGACGGCAGAUAAGAACCAUUUGGCCCAUCUAGUCUGCCCAAUAAAGAGUAACUUUCCCUGACCGGGAAUCGAACCCACGGUGGUGAGAGCACCAAAUCCUAACCACUAGACCACUCAAUACAGCAGCUCAGAUUGAAAAUAUGCAAUAAUACUUCAAGUAUAAAUAUGUCAUUAUUGAUACAUUUAUUUGUUGAAAUUCAGUUAUUAAUCAAAACCUAUUCUCUCAUAAAUACCUGUAGAGUUUGCUUAGUGCUGAUACAAAGGUUACUUAAAAUUUUCCAAGUAUUUCUAUGCAAUACUUGUCGAUAUUUUUUUUUUAUUGGUUUGUUCUACAUAAUAUUAUUGCGUUCCAUUAUAGCAAGAUAUUGUUAAUUGUAUUACCAUUUUUUUCAUGCAUUUACAUAUUGUAAGUUUGCAAUUCCAAGAUGAGAGAGUUUAAUUGCCGAAUGCAUUUUGAAAAGCUAAUUUGGUUUGCAACCAUUUGUGGAAAUAGUGGGUUAUUAGUAGAGAUUUUUCUAAACAAGUAAUUAAUACUUUGUAGAAGCGGCAAAUGUGGUCUAUGCUUCUUUAUUGCAGGAUAUAUUGUAAUGUGGUACCCAGUCAAAUUAUGGUGAAGAAUAUUACAUGGUAAUGCACUAUAGUAUGUUGACUUAUUGCAUUAUUUGGUAAUAAGUAAUUUGAGUCAAUAACUAAUCAUCAUCUUCUACUCUGGAAAUGAUAUUCUGACAUGUUUGAGGCAAUUGUUUUGUUAGGUGUUGUAUGAUCACUGAUUAUGUUACAAUCAUAUAGAUUGUUGUUUUCAUAUAAAAUUAUUUUUAAGUAAUAUAGUUAUUGUAUGUUAUAUUAUAUUGAAUUAUAUUAAGUUGAACUACAAGAGUUUAGGAUCAGAGAUAAAAAUAGUAGGUAUUUCUUUAAAUCAAAAUUGUGUGUGAAUAUUAAUAUUUCUAUAGUAAUAUUUAUAUUAAUAAUUAAUAAUACUUUUUAAUAUUAAUAGAAUUAUUUCCCCCAUUAUUUUCUCAAAAUAAUUAUUUCUAAUAUUUUGCCCCCAAAUUAUCCCUACAAUAGUUGCAUCCUAAAAGACAGCUGUCAUCAUCCUACCUGGCUCUAAAAUGUCACAACAAAAUAAUUCUGAAGAUUAAGACGUAAUUGUACAGAAAUAUAGACAUACAAUGAACAAGUUUAAUUCAGAAAAGAAAAAAUUCAGAAAAAAAUUCAAAGAGGAACUGACAAUAGCACAAAAAAGGAAUUAACAGGUACCUAUUAAUAAAGAAUAAAAUAAAAGACAGAACUGAUGGAAACCUAAAGGAAGCAAUACCUCCUAUCAUCAUGGAUUAUAAUAAGGACAGUCUACUUGGUUAGAGAUAAUAAAAUAAAAUCUUUCAGAAAGCUGGUAGAAGAGUUCCAAAUCUCUGUCAAAGAUACCUUCUCCUAUAUUAUCCUAUAUAAAACACUAUUUAGAGAAGGUUAUAUUAGUCGCAGACGGUAUUUUGUAUGACAUAUACUAAAAACAAUUCUAGAUCAGAGUAAAACAAAGCAGCUGUUCUCUAGAUGUGUUAAAAUGCUAGAGGGUGUUCAUAACUCCGUAAUCCCUACCGCCAUUAAUAAAUGGAAUAUCGACUUUAAAAAAAAAAAGCACAGAUCUAAAGGAAUGGUCAUCCUCAUUUGUAUUAUUAGAAACACAUUUUAAGUUGGUAAAUUUAUGGUAUAUGACCCCAGUUAAAAUAACUAAAUUCGCUAUGGGUACGAAUGCUCAAUGUUGGAAAUGCAGAGAAGAAAAAUCUGCAUAUGUGAUGGUCAUGUAAAAAAGUGUUUGUGGUGUGGCAAUUGGCCCAAUAUAUCAUACAUAAUUUGUGCAAUAAAAACAAGAUAGAACAGUGAGUAAGCGCUAACUAAUAUAUGGGCAGCAACCCUAUAAGGGAAUCCCUCGGAGAACCCUUAGGAAUAGAACUGGAAAGAGAAAAGAAAAAGGCAAGGGCUGCGCCAAGGAAAACUAUAAUAACAAAUAGUCCAAGAAAAUGAGGAAACAAUUUAAAAAGUCUUAUCUAAAAUGUUCUUAUUGUAAUUGCAGAGUCUAUUCAGGCUUGAUCCACAACGAUAGUGCUUAAAAUAAUCCUUCGUGUGAGUCCGUUGGUAUAUAUAAAAUAAAAUAAAAGUAGAGACCCAAAUAGUGCAAUAUGCUUCAAACUGAAAGGUUAAGAAUAAUAAAAAGUUGAAAUAAAACUCACAUUUGUCAGAGCGUAAAACUCGCUCCGGUAUGAAAGGCGUACAGCGGUUUGAUUCCCGCUUGCGGGAUAUACGGUGAGCUUCCUCCGUCAAUGGUGUGUUCAAUACUCGGAUAAAAAGAAACAGCCAAUAGUGUACACUGAGUGUUGAUGUAGAUAAAAUAAAAUAACAUAAAAUGGGUACUCACAAGACGGGAGCAGAACAACUACUCCUAAACGUAAGCUCUGGUGGUAUGAUCCCCACCUAGGAUUGCUUGGAGUCCGAGAUGUAGAGAAGAUGCCAGGUCGCAAAAUAAAUAAAUGUGUAUAAAAAGAUAUAUGGCACAGAUAAAAAGUAACCAAAUAAACUUUAAUAUAUAAAAAUACACAAAAUAAUAUCCAUAAACGCGUUUCGCCAGCACGGCGUUAUCAAUAUGGAGUAAGGACCUGAUACCUGGCAACAUAGAGUUUAUAUAGCAGCAAUAAUCAUUUGAAAUUGGCACCAAAAAGUGAGCAGCCAAUCAGAAUUGAAGUAAAAGUGAAUAAAUUAAAACAGUAAAAUAACUAAUAAAAUGAUACAUACAUAUGUUAAUUGUAUAAUUGUAUAAUUUGUGCAAUGUAAAAUAUUUUUAAAACCCGAAGUAAUGCUCCUGCACUGUAAUUGGCCAAAACUAAAGAAAAUAUACCAAUUUUUGACUAUACACUGCCUAAUGGCUUGUAAGAUUGUAAUAGCAAGAAAUUGGAAGGGGAACAAUGCCUUUACCAUUAAACAAAUAACAUCACAACUGGCUUACCAACUCAAAAUGGAGAAGGACCAUUGCAAAUGUUUGAACAAUAAUUCUAGUAUCUGGGUGAGUUGGGAUAAUAAACUACGGGAUAUGUAAAAUCAUAACCAAACAAGUAUGCAACAAGGGAAUGGUCAGUUUUUGAGAACUCUCGUAGGGUGAGGGGUUUGUUACUGUUUUGUGAUAAUGACUGCUUUGUAAUGUAUGUUGUAUGUAAAGUGUCAAAUGUUAAAAUUUAAAAAUAAUUAAAAAAUAAUAAUAAUAAGGACAAUCUACAACUAAAAAAAUACUGAAGAGACAUUGGGGCCUCUUGAAAAGGGAUAAAAAUGUGUUGAAUUUGUUAUUGGAGAGGCCAAUAAUUAUAUUAAAAGGGACUCCAAACAUAAAGAAUUAUUUAAAAAACUUAAAGAGUUAUUUCAGUUGACUUAAAGGUAGGCAGACAAUGUAAUAGAGCAGCCGGAAAUGCUAGCAGAAUGCUUGGUUGUAUAGGGAGAGGUAUUAGCAGUAGAAAGAUGGAAGUGCUCAUGCCAUUGUACAGAACACUGGUGAGACCUCACUUGGAGUAUUGUACACGGUACUGGAGACCAUAUCUCCAGAAGGAUAUUGAUACUUAAGAGAGCGUUCAGAGAAGGGUCACUAAACUGGUUCAUGGAUUGCAGGGUAAAACUUACCAGGAAAGGUUAAAGGAUCUUAACAUGUAUAGCUUCAGGGCCGUCUUUAAUUUAGAUUGGACCCUGGGCGAGCAUUUACUUGGGCCCCCUGACUACGUCUAGAUACACACAAAUACACUACCUGACACACAUGCAGAUACACACUGACCACAUAUAGAAACACACAAGAACAUACAGAUACACACAGACUACAUAUAGAUACACUGACACACACACAGAUACAAACACUGACAUACAUGCAGAUACAAAGGUACACACACUGACUACUUAUAGAUACACCGACACACACACUGACAGACAGACACACAGAUACACAACCUGACACACAUGCAGAUAUACAGAUACAAACACUGACACAUACAGAUACACACACAAAUACAAAUGGACAACAUACAGAUACAGAGACACAUUCUGACAGACGUACUGACACAGACUCACACACAGAAAACCAUACUGAAACACACAUACACAAAGACAUACUGAACCACACAGACACUGAUGGACUCUCACACACACAGACAUACAGAUACACUGACAGACGUACUGGCACAUAUACACACAGACAGACGGACAUACUGAAACACACAUACACACAGACAUUGACAGACAUAUUGACAAACACAGACAUACAGAACCACACUGACAGACUCACACAUAGACAUACUGACAGACAUACACACAUUCUGGCACACACACACAGACAGACUGAAACACACAGACACAGACACUGACAGAUAUACACACAUACAGACAUUUUGAAACUCACAGACAGCCAUACUGAAACACACAGACACUGAGAACACAGACACUGACACACUGACAGACAUACUGGCACACAGACAGACACUGACAGACAUACUGGCACACAGACAGACAUUCUGGCACACAGACAGACAUUCUGGCACACAGACAGACAGACAUGCUGAAACACACAUACACACAUACAGACAGACAUGCUGAAACACACAUACAGACAGACAUGCUGAAACACACAUACACACAGACAGACAGACAUGCUGAAACACACAUACACACAGACACUGACAGACAAACACACAUCCAGACAUUUUGACAUACACAGACAGCCAUACUGAAACACACAUACACACUGAACCACAGACACUGACAGACUCACACACAGACAUACUGACAGACAUACACACAUCCAGACAUACAGAUACACUGACAGACUUUGAUAACCACCCUCCAGUUUCUUACCUUGUCCUGGAGGGUGGCUUCCCUGGGGUCCAGUGGGCUGGCUGGGGUGGCUGGGAGUUAAGCUCUCCCGGCCUGGCCCCCUCCGGAACAGCUGGUCCGCCUUCCUCCCGCGUGGCUCCAGUUUCUGUGGGAGGAAGUGAUGCACGGCUGUCACUUCCUCCCACUGCUGCCGAAAAGCAAGGGCCCGGUUGCGCUGUUAAAGCGCCACAGCGCCCGACCGGGCCCCUGCUGACACAGGCCCACCGGGUGGCCCUAAGUGCAUGGGCCACCCGAUGGGCCCCCAUAGUUUGUGGGCAGAGGGCAAACAGGGCAGUUACCUCAGGCCCCCCAGCAGGGACAGGGCCCGGGGCAGCUGCCCCGUUUGCCCCGCGUUAAAGACGGCCCUGUAUAGCUUGGAGGAAAGAUGAGACAGGGGGGAUAUGAUAGAAAGAUUUAAAUACAUAAAGGGAAUCAACACAGUAAAUGAGGAGACUAUAUUUAAAAGAAGAAAACUGCCACAACAAGAGGACAUAGUCUUAAAUUAGAGAGGCAAAGGUUUAAAAAAUAUAUCAGGAAGUAUUACUUUACUGAGAGGGUAGUGGACGCAUGUAAUAGCCUUCCAGCUGAAGUGGUAGAGGUCAACACAGUGAGAAAGUUUACGCAUAGGCAUAAGGCUAUUCUAGACUUUAGAUAAGGCCAGGCACUAAUGAACAUAUUUAGAAAAUUUGGCAGACUAGAUGGGCCAAACACUUCUUAUCUGCCGUCACAUUCUAUAAGAAAAAACUAGUCAAAAGUCACAGAAAACUGUUAAAGAAUAGAGCAAAUGAAAAUAAUUUUAAAAACAGCACGAAAAUUGACUUUUGUUUUGCAUGUAAUCAGUGCCUAGCAUGCAAGACUAGAAAGAAAAAAAACAUGAAAGGAGAUUGUCAUUCUAUUAAAAAUUAUUAUUAUUUUUUUUUUAAUUAAUGCAUUUACUAACUUGUACAGUACUAAUAUAAUCUACUGUCUACAAUGUCCUUGUGAAUUACAAUAUAUUGGUAAAACAAGAAAAUUAUCAUUAAGGAUAAGGGAACAUGUGAGAAACAUCUCGAAAAAUUUCUUCUGCACUCAAUGUCAGCUCAUUUUACUGAAAAACAUAAUGCUGAUGCUGGCCUGUUGGACUUUGGAGCUACUUGCAGCGUCCCUAGAAAAUGGAGAGGAGGAGACCACAUUUAAGAAUUUGGGAAAUAAAUGUUCACUAAUAUAUAUUUAUAUAUAUAUUGUGAAAGUCACAUAUGUGUCUUGUUGAGGGAACCUUUAAGAUAGGUUUUAUUACUAUUUAAUUUUGUGUUUUUCCACCUUAGGAAUAGUAACCAAUUUAAGGAAUUGAGAUAUACUUGAUAUACUGCUCACUUAGAAAGAUCGGGUUGCUAUCGAAUCUUGUAAUUUCCGAGAGUAGGCGUUCUAAGAUAAACCUUAUAGCUUGCACAAAUGUAUCCAUUUUAUGAAAGAUUGCAGUCAAAUUCAUCAUCUGUUAAGAUACAUAAUAACUACAUGGUAUCCAAAUGUUUUCCUUUGCAUAAUAAUUACGAAGUUUAGCAACAAAUAGAUUCAUUAGUAAUCAUAGGAGAGUUGCGACAGCUGGGAUACAUGCUAGAGAUUUCUGUCUAUCAAAUGAAUAUAACUCCAAUAAAAUACCACUGAAAAUACAACCAAAACGACAAGCUCUCUAUGAGAACAUAGGUUCCUAUGGCAACCAAGUUACCGUGAAGUAAAUUGGAAAGAUAAAAACAUUAAUUUCUCGCAAGUACAAUCUUCACAAAAUAAUCUUUGCAGGAGAAUCAUCAUUUUCUUUUCUUUUUUUUUUUUAAUUUUAACCAAAUUAAAUGUUUGCUUUUUUUUUUUAUUUAAAGUUAUACCGGGUUUCUACGACAACCUGCAUUUUCCAGUAAUACAAGUUUGCAACAAUUUAACUCCCCCCAACAAGAUCAGCAAUAGACAAAGGGUUUAGCUUGUCCUUUCCUUUUAAAUUAUGAAGAAAAUAAAGUUCUUUAUGGCAUACAAUAUUGAGAAAUAGUAUAGGUUACCAUGGCAGCCCGGUUGUGAUGGAGUUUCCAUAGUCAGACUGAGUACCUCCAGCAAGUCAGCUUCCUAGCUGCCACAGGGAACUCAGGAGCACUUGAACCCUGUCGCCGAAGCUUCACUGGGGUCUCUCCGGAAUCUUCCACCCAAUCAGGCUGCAGCUCUCUUCUUCUAGGCAGGUCUCGUACCCUCUGUUUUUGCUUCUUCUGUUCUUCCCAUAGGCAGGUAUCAACACCUCUGCCUGGGCUGUGACCAACUAUUGCCUUUACAAAGGCACUUGUGGCUCUCAGACCUAGCUCUUUUUAACUUGUUCCAGAAAUCAGGGACUGAAACAGCCAGCGAACAGGUCCAAAUACUCUGUUACUGGAAUUCCUAGGAUACCAGUACACACAGUUCCCAAUGGAAUUAUCACAAUGCUUUAUAUUAACUCAGGAUUAGCCCAUAUGCGCAGUAUAUCAAACUUAUGGUGACAAAUGCAAUCUAAUACAAAUAACCAAAUCAUAUGGGGAAACAUACAGGCACUCUUAAUAACACAAUAACAGGGGUGUGGAAGACAAUAACUAACACAAAAUAUCUCCCCUGCCUGCAUAAUUCAUAAUAUGCAAAUCUACCUGAAUAUGCAAAUUAAUGCAACUUGCUAUUCAGAUAAUGCAUAUAUGUGUUUCAAGAUCCUCACUACCAACAGAUGUCAAUGUACAGGCUCCGCAGCCAAAUCCACCUUGUUGAUUGAGAGCAUCAACAGGACAGGAGAGGAGAGCACACAAAACAUUUAACAAUAAAUAAUAUACCAUACACAUCUUGCACCUAUUAUGGUCACAGGGUGACUAGAACAUAAGAAUAAUCAGGGGACUUACAUAAAGAGUCCGUCUUAUGCUCAUGGUGAUGGUGAAAAAACAAGUCUAAGAGGCCAAAGGUUCACCAAUGCAUACAGACAGAGAUGUUUCUGAGGGGGUGCAGACUGCCCAGGUGCCCCUCAGGAUCGUCUCUGUCUGUAUGCACUGGUGUACGUGUGGUUCCUUGGACUUGCUUUUUGCUAAGCGUUUCUGUCCAGGAUCCUCCUGGUGCCGAGUGUCAUGCAAAUAAAUAACCAAACACAUUUCUCCCAGAUUCUGGCGUGGUCAAUGUUGUAAUGCUACAAUUCAUGUUUCCCUUCCCAUCUCUUUUUUUGCAUGAUUACACUCCUGCUGACAACUGCAAGGAACAUUGAAAAAAGGGGGGACUUACCCACUAAUACUGUGGAGUGGAUAUUUGUAUGAGACAUGUAUAAUGUUUUAAAACUAGAAAGCAUAGUUUUUGUUAUAUUUAUCCAAUCAGAUGCUUUUCACAGAAAAGUAUUGAGAAUUCUUGUAUUAUGAUGUAUAAUUAUUUUCUUGGUUAGACUAUCAAUUCAACAAACUUUACACCUGGGACUUGACAGGGAUUCAUUUUAUCAGUUCAUCUAUUUUUAUUUUAAGUCCAUUUUGAAUUCUCUUUGAAUUCUCACUUUAGUGAAUAACCAUAAUCUUUUUUUUAUAUAUAUUUUUAAUGCGUUAUCUAUAUAAAAACCUGAAGAAUCCUUUUAAUAACUAUUUAUAUGAACCACCCAACCAAGCACCCUCUCCAGGAAAGACAGAUGUAGUGGUUCUAAUACCAAGAGGGCCCCGUACCCUCCCACUGUCCAACUUACAUAAAGGUUGUCAGGGGUUCCCGCCACUACUCUCUCUGCACACCGAGCUAUCCUGUCACUGCAGGGAGACACUCAGGGGUUGAGAGCUCUCAGCUUACACUCUCAGCCAAGGAGCUGGCCCUGCAUGGCUUAGCACAGUAAGCUUACAGAAGCUCCAUGCAAGACUCCUGCUGAUGGGCACACAAAAGCUUUCUGUGAGCAUUGAACUUUAGAAACCUAAAACUCAGAAAUACCUAAGCAGUGAACAUCAAUGGUGUUGCUAGAGUUUGGAUUUACAGGCUCAAUCUCUGUAAAGUCCCAAAUAUAAAUGGUUUAGCUACUUACUGUGGGAGAAAGCCAUGGUGUGCAUGGCACCAUAAUCACCAGGGCCGGAUUAAGAGCAUACUGGGCCUGGUGCUGACAAAUAUGAUGGGCCUAAUUACGGAAUCUUUUCAACCAAAAACACUAAAACAGUCAUACCUUCCAAGCGUCAUGUAUCUGAUGGAGAUGGUGUUAGAAGGAAAAUCAAAGGAUGCAGCUAUAUGAAAACACAUACUCUAUGCUAAUCUCUCUCUAAUUUAUGUUUUCAUCUUUCAAGUAAAUCCAUAACCCCUAACAGCAGUGUCCAGUGAAAUAGGAAGUCAAUGGGCGAGGUAAAAGGGUGUGCCACUGGUGCAAAUCACUUGACCAGACCUGCCAAAAGGGGUGAACAUGCCCAAAAAGGGGGCAUGUCUGUCCAAAGAAUUUGAAGGACCGCCUGGCAUGAAUGCAUGUCAGGCUGCCCGCCAAUCCUGCAGGCUGUCUAACUAAGGGCAUACUAUGCAGGCAGCACCAUGAGCUUGACAUAAAUGCAUCUAAUGAUGCGCUCACUCCGUGCUUUCUAAGGACUGUCCCCUAGCACACGCUGGUCCACUUGUCUCAUUACCUUCUUACUAGCAGGCAGAAGUUCCUGGUAUAUAGUCUGAGACAGAGUAAAGGUGUAUGUAGUGAGUGUAGUGUUUGUAGUGAGUGUAGUGUAUGUAGUGAGUGUAGAAGAAAGGGGACAUGCCACAGUGUUAGAGAGACCAGCGUCUGCAUUACCUAAACUAAUUUUAUUGUCAGCUAGUCCACACAAGUUUUGUUCCCAUACAUCCCCCUUAAGCUUCCAAACUUAAAGGGACACUAUAGUCACCAGAAGAACUACAGCUUAUUGUAUUUGUUCUGGUAAGUAGAAUCAUUCCAUUCAGGCCUUUUGCAGUAAACACUGUCUUUUCAGAGAAAAUAACUCCACUGGCCACUCCUUAGAUGGCUGCUAGAGGUGCUUCCUGGGGCAGUACUGCCUAGUGUGCAGCACUGCCAUUCAGUGUCUCCAUCCUCUGCAUGCAGACACUGAAAUUUCCUCAUAGAGAUACAUUGAUUCAAUUUAUCUUUAUGAGGAGAUGCUGAUUGGCCAGGGCUAUGUUAGACUUGUGCUGGCUCUGCCCCUGAUCUGCCUAGUUGACAGUCUCAGCCAAUCCUAUGGGGAAGUAUUGUAAUUUGCUCAGACCACCACUUCUGAUGAUGUCAGUAGACAGUGAAUUCAGAGGCAGAGCCAGCAGCUGCAGACUUGAAUACAAGUUAUAUUUUACUAUACUUAGGGAGGCAAGAAGGGGCCAGGGUGUUGGUUUUUACAUAAUCGAGUCAGAAAUACAUGAUUGUGUUCCUGACCCUAUAGUGCUCCUUUAAGCAAGAGUAUGUGAAGAGUAGUUAGGGUUGCCACCUUUCUUGGAAAAAAAUACCAGCCUUAAUAAUUUGUAUAAUCACAAGGAGUGACAUCAGAGAAAAUUCUGUAAAAUCACCAACAAACUACUCACAGUUUGAUUCUGCUGUAAAGAUGGAUUGCUCCCAGUGUCUCAGUCUCGCAAGUCACCCAGUGUCUCAGUGUCCCUAUGUAUCACAGUGUCAGUGUCCCCAUGUCGCCCAGUCCCCUAGUCUCCCAGUGUCUCAGUGUCCCCAUUUCUCCCAGUGUCCCAGUGUCUCAGUCUCGCAAGUCACCCAGUGUCUCAGUGUCCCUAUGUAUCACAGUGUCAGUGUCCCCAUGUCGCCCAGUCCCCUAGUCUCCCAGUGUCUCAGUGUCCCCAUUUCUCCCAGUGUCCCAAUGUCUCAGUGUGUCCCCAUGUCUCAGUGUGUCACCAUGUCACUAGGAUACUGGGGACACAGUGAGACAUGGGGACACAGAGACCCAGGGACAUGGAGACAUGGGGACAUGGGGACACUGAGACAUUUAGGGAAACUGGGAGAAAUGGGGACACAGACACCAGGGACACAGACACUGGGAGACAUGGGGACACUGCAACAUUUGGGGACACUAAGACACUAGGGACACAGAGACAUGGGAACACAGACACUGGGAGACUAUGGGACACUGGGAGACAUGGGACACUGGCUGGAAGACAGACACUUGGGGACACUGGGACAUAUAGGGACACUGGGAGACAUGGGGACACAAGGCACACUGAGAGACACGGGACACAGACACUGUGAGACUUAGGGACACUGAGAGACUAGCGACACUGAAUGGGGGACAUGGGGACACUGGGAGAAAUGGGGACAUAGUGUCUCCAUGUCCCAAUGUCUCAGUGUCUCUCAAUAUUCCCAUGUGUCCCAGUGUCCCCUAGUGUCUCAGUGUCCCCAUGUUUUCCAGUGUCCCCAAGUGUCUCAGUGUUUCCAGGUCUCCCAGUGUCUGUGUCCCCAUGUAUCCUAGUGUCUCAGUGUCCCCUAGUGUCUGUGUCCCCAUGUGUCCCCUAGAGUCUGUGUCCCCUAGUGUCUCAGUGUCCCCAUAUGUCCCCUAGUGUCUCAGUGUCCCCUAGUGUCUCAGUGUCCACAUGUGUCCCCUAGUGUCUCAGUGUCCCCAUGUGUCCCCCAGUGUCCCCAUCCCUCACUUACCUGAGCUGUAGAGCUGCUGUCUGGACUCUGUGCUGUGUUGCUGCUCCCCCAUGGAUCAGUAAGUAGUAGAGAGAGGCAGGGAUAUGCUGUAACUUCCUAUCCCUGCCUCUCUCCACGCAGUGACCCCUAUUGGCUGGUGCUGGUAUUGCAGAGUAAUCUCCAUUUAUUCUGAGAAAAAUACCUGCAAUUGUAUUGCUGGUAUUACUGCAAUACCGGCACGGCCAGGCAGCCUCAAAUACCGGCUGUGCCAGUAAAAUACCAGUCAGGUGGGAAACCUAAGAGUAGUGUGUAAAAAAAAAAAAAUAAUAAAAUAAAAAAUUUUUUUUUUUUUUUUUAGAUGGGCCUAUUCCAUGGGCCUGGGCCUGGAGCUGCAGCUCCAUCAGCCCCUAUGUUAAUCCGGCCCUGAUAAUCACUACAGUACUUAUGGUUAGUGAUGUCCUGAACGGUUCGCCGAACGGUUCGCCACGAACGGUUCGCCACGGACUCAUCAUUGAGUAAACUUUGACCCUGUACCUCACAGUCAGCAGACACAUUCCAGCCAAUCAGCAGCAGACCCUCCCUCCCAGACCUUCCCACCUCCUGGACAACAUCCAUUUUGAAGCUGCAUUCUUAGUGAGCUACUUAUGGUGCUUGGAAUGUUCUUGUAAAUCACUAUUAAAAAAUGGGACACUAUAAAUGGAAAUUGGGAAAAUGGAAAAAUCGGGAUGUUCAAUUAUAACUUUGUGCGACACAUUUUAUUCAUAGAUUCUUUUUUACUAUUCUUUGUCAAUCUGAAAAAUUCUUAGAUUUCUUAGAUUUCAUUAUAUGAAUUCAAUAUUGAAGUGACCAUGCUAUAACUACACAGCCUUGAAAAAUGUUUCCAAAUCAGCAAUUUUAGUCUACUUUUUGCCAUUUGGUUUUCUACAAUUCAAAUUUAGAGAAUAACCAUGUAACAGAGCGUUCGUUUAUGAAAGUGUUUUUAGACUGCAGUGUUCUAUGUAUAAAAUUCAUCAGACUACCCAUCCCCCUUAAAAGUCUCUGUUCUUGCAUUAAUCUUUUUCCUUCCUGAAUAAUCCCAGGUAUUUCUGAUUUCAAAGCAUAACACUAAAAAUGCUGGAGAGUAUUAAACAUACUAUGUGACACAUUAAAGCAACACACUAGGCACCGACAGAAAUGUUAAGUAUUUUAUAGCAUGAAUCAUGGUAUAUUUGCAUACACCAUCUUAUUUGUUUUUUCUUUUUGAGUUUGGAGUAUAUUGCAUCUUAAUCUUUAUUCUAAAAUGUUUCCUUCUUACUGGUUCUAAUACCUUCCAGGUGUGGAUGUGUAAUAUUGUAAGCAGCAAUGAGGGGUGAGUGCACCCUAAAAGAGAGACUGUAAUCCUACUUGGCCGGCAUUUAAACGGUUAAUCCCAAUGACCUGUUUAGUGAUUUAAAGUCAUGGUGCCUGGAGUCUGUAUGUGCAACGUUUCACUAUGAAAAGCUGUACAUACAGAUAUUAAAAUAACCUCUUAGCUUAGUGCCAGCAGUAUCAUUAACCAGUCCAGUACUAAGUUCCAGGCUAAGUAAUGUCAAUUCUUUGCAAAAUGGAUGUCUGACAGGCGAUGGCGUCACCCCUCCGCCCCGGGUUGCCCCUGUCCUCUGCCCAGUCCAUCCUGUUUAGUUCUUGCCAUUGUUGCAAAUGCAAACCCCAUUCACACAAGGAAGUGGCACAGCCAAUCAGGAGUCAUUCUGUUCAAUGUAGUUUAAACUGUUUGCCAGGUGUGUAUGUGAAAUUAGUUCAACGUGUUGAAACACUCGAAACAACAUGUGACCAACUCUUUGUAGGGACCCUGACAAAGCUGUGAUGUGAAAGCAAAAUCUUAAUUUCUCUCUUUAUUUUUUUCAUCUUAGGCUUUUUCUUCAUAAGGUGCUAUUGCUCUAUGAAUAUAUACACUAGUCUAGUUUUUCCUUUUGCCUCUUUCAUUUUCUAUAUUUAUUUACGGCAUAGCUGAUUAUCUAGGCGAUGUGCAAAUGCUUUUACAAUUGCUGAGGUUUUUAUAUAGGUAGGAUAAUGAUUUGGGGAGGCAGUACUUUAACAACAAUACAAUGAAUAUUUCCUGAUAACAUGCAUUCAGGUGAUCAUCUUACAUUAAAUACAAACCCAGAACUCUCUAAGUCCAGAGUUGCCUGACCAUUUUUUUUACUAGAUGAAUUGUUUUUGCCUUUGGAGAAUACUAGUAUACACUUACCUGUACUCUAGACUUGCCCUUUCUUGUUGCCUGUUUUAACUUUAAACCUGUAGUUAUCUGUAACACUUUGUUAAAAUAAGCAGUACCCAUUUGCAUUUACUUGGCUGUUUCCCAGCUUUAUGCCUGAUAUAACUUUCAAGAUUCAAGUUUUGCAUAUUUAAGUGUAAGUUAGUUUUGCUUAUACUAUCCUGUCAUAUUUGAAAUUAAAUACAGCAAUAUUAAUUUAUCUCCUCUCUUUAAACUAUUGUGGUUAGUUUGUUCCCUGCAAGCCUCAUAUAGAACUACUGGGUAUAACCAACAAUGGCAGCUAUGGUGAAGUUUUAAGAUGAUGGGAUACCAGACUCCUCCCCUGGAAUCUGACUCCAACCUUUAACUCUGUAGUCUCCAUCAUAUAACUUGUGGCAUCAGUCUGCUUAACCUCAUGUACUCAACACCUAAUGAUAAUACACAAAGCUGCAUUCAUUAGCGCAUUACCCAUACAAUACUCAAACUAGAUACAAUACAGAGAUACCUUUUGUGAUGGCCUAUUCCCGUUGCCGCUAAAGGAUUCCUUUCCCCUUUAUGAUUAUAGAGUGAUUAUAACUGUUAUAGCUGUCUUACCCAUACAUUAGCCAAGACUUAGUGUAGGGUGAAGAAGAACUAAUUAAUUGUACUGACUGUCUCUCUUUUAUACCUGUGUCCCCAACAGGGGAUUACCAGUAGAACAGUAGUUAUUGCAAUAUACCUGACACCUAGGGGUCUGUACCUGACCAGAUAAUUUUAUUAGUGGCCAGACACCUUGGUGCCGAAUAACAUUUUGACAUGAAAAACUGGGUUACUCUGCCUUACAAAGGCACAUGCAGCUCUCAGGGGUAACUCUCUUGAUUUAUCUCAGGGCUAGAGGGAUCGUGCAGCCAACCAACAGGUCCGAAGACUCAUACAUAACUUUAUUUUUACUUUUGACUAGCCUAUAGGAUCAUUACAAAAAAACCUUAUGAUGACACAUUUAAAUAAAUACAUAAAACGAAAUCAUAUGAUUAUACACAAAACAUAUAACAAUAAAACAAUACACACCCUGCACCUAUAAGGGGUAUAGGGUGACUUAGACAUAAGCGUAGUCCAGGGUCCUACAUAAAGUGUCCCUAUGAAACCCCAGGUGAUGGUGACUACCGUCACAGCGUGCCAUGCCUCUGAGAGUCUCCAUCAGGGUUUAGAUGUCUCUGGGACUGCUGGAGAGGGUGUUGAACUGAGAAGCAUGGUCUGAAGGGCAAAUAUGUGAGUAAUUAUACUAGGAAGCUCUGUACAAGUCCUAAGUGACCGGCUGGUCCGUCACACCUAUACAAUACACAGGACUGAGUACAAUACAGAGAUACCCAGACAAUACAAACAACGAGUACAAUAAGGAGAUAUCAAUUCACAGAGCUGAGCAUAAUAAAGAGUAGGGAUCAACCAAUAUUGCUUUUUUAGGGCCGAUAUGGAUACCGAUAGCCUAUUACUUGUACCGAUAUUCUGUGCAUUUUUACAGUUUUGAAAAACGAAACCAUUUCUAUACAAUUCUGCCAUUAACUGAACAUGUUUAAUAUUUAUUAUUAUAUUAUUUUGUGAAUUUUUAUUUUAUUGAGAGGUAAAUGCAGAACAUAUUCAUACCUGUUAGAUAUUUAAUGUUUUCAAGAAUAUUUAUGUGUGUUUAGUGGAUGCAGUGUGUAUGUGUUUAGUGGAUGUAGUGUUUGUGUGUAGUGGAUGCAGUGUGUUUGUGUGUGUAGUGGAUGCAGUGUGAUAUGAUAUGACAUACCCCAUGCUGUCUACUUUCCCUAAUGGUAUGCAUUUAUGGGGAAAUUUGAACUGUGAAACUGCUACAAUGCCCCAAAAUAAAAUCUAGAUCCUAUCAAACUCAUGAAUCAAAAUUCUAAUUGUAAAAACUGAAAUGGUCAGGUCUAUUUUAUGGUACUGUAACCUCACAGGAUAGUGGCAAAGAUACAUUCAGGGGGUGUUGUUUUAUUCAGAAGAGUUUGCUGAGCAUAAUUUGUGGGGUUUGACCACAGUGGCACAUAUCAGAUUUGAAAAUUUGACAGCAAUUCUGAAACGUGUAUGUAAAAAUUGCAACAACAAAAAAGUACCACAAUGUUUGAACACAAUAUGGGGUUUUCUACAGGGGUAGUACCCAUCAGGUUUACAAAAUACACAUUAAAUAACCCUGUUAUAUGUGUGUAUGUUAAAAACAAACAAAAAUACUACAGUAUUUCGCAGAGAUUGGCUGUUAAAUGGCUUUAUAAAAAGUGUGAAAAUACCCUUAGGUAAAUAGCCCGUGAUGUCUGCUUUUUAUAAAUAUAUAGCUUUGUGUGACAAUUUUGUUUUCUAUGACGGCUAUUAAGCUUACAAGUCAAACAUACCAAUUUGUAAAAUCGAUCCACAUUGAAAUUUUGUGACCUGUAACUACGAAAAAUAAACUAAAAUCAUCGACAUUUUAUUAUAAAAAUCAUAAUAAAUCAGGACAGCAAAAUGAAUUUAUUUUGAAUUACUUUUCUUUCUUUUUGGAAAUUUUAAUUGUUUUGUGCUUUAGAGUAACAAACAGUCUUGCACUGCCCCGACGGCGGUGACAAGAUAAGUAGUAUACACAGUUCAACAGUAAAGGGCAGUCGAGUAUACAGCACAUUUUUGUGUAGAAAUAAUUUUGACUAGACAAUUUACGCUAAACAAUAGCGGAGUAACUGGCAUGUAUAAGUGCCUGAAAGUGAGUGCGAGAUAAAAUAAAAUAAUAUAAAAUAAAAUAGGUGCCAGUAGGAAUAUGGUAGGUUAGGCGUUAGUAGGAGUACUGGCGUAGUAUAUAUACAUUUCGUUACAUGCUUGUGAUAAUAGGUAUUAAGGACAAGAUAAAUCAGGCUAGACAGAACAAUCUGCAUCAGUAUAAGAAGAGACUACUUCCUAGUUUUCCAGUUCUAACUUUAGUACCUGGCUUAUUGAGGUGUGAGAAACAGACAAGUAUGUUAUGAAGCCUGUGGACGUGGAGACUGUCACGCCUAACUAACAAUGUGUGCUGAGAUUAAUGAAUUCUACCGCUGCUAAGCUUCCUUAGUACCACAUGACCAGGCUUGCCUGCGCAGUAUGUCAGAUCAGUGUAAUGUUUGGCUGUACUCUAUCCGCAAUGCUAUCUGAAACUAUAGUUGCUCAUCUCAUGUGUAUUAUAAGCGGAGGAGUGCUGCACGGUUGUGACAGACCUCUCUGUCUCUGGAUUACUUUUAUUUUGCCUUGGUUUGUCUGUUUGUUUGGUUCUUGCCCUGUCCGUACGGCCCCUAUGUUUAAUUUCCUUUUUCCCGAAAGAACUACCGAAUGGCCGGCCACCCAGCAAGGAAGUGUGCUGCUUGUUAACCUCUUGACCUCUUUAGAACGUUGUGGUUAACCACAGACACUUUCUACCGUUGAAUGGUCGGCUGGGUGGUCGUCGUUCAUAUGAACGAACACGUGGCAGUGGCCAUCCUGGACAUUCGAACGCCCAGCGGUGUUCGUCGACAAAUCUAUGGAACUAAAAACGGACACUAUUUUCAAACGAACACCACUGGAGUUGCUGACCCGCCUUCGCCCUUUUCAUCAGUUCAUACGAAUGCUGUGCCGUUCGGUACUUGGAUCAUACGAACAGAGCCACCCCACAUAGCCGUCCCAUGGAGCUGAUUCGUAUGACGAAUAGACUAUGUGAAAGACUUUAGCUCCAUGGCGAUUGAACUGUGUGUAUGGGAUCUGAGCGCUAUUCGGUGAUAUUGUGUGCUCAGAUCUAAGCUAUCUGGGGAUACGUUGAAUAUGGGGAUUCUGUUCGGUAGUUUGGGAAUUGUAUAUUUUUAUGUAUUUUUAUUGUUGCUAUAAAAUGGAGGUUAUGCUCUAUCCUGGGAGGUAAUUAAGUUACUUCUAGCCCAGCCUAACUCCCGUUAAUGAAAUUCCUAGGGGUUUAAACCACUCUCUACCUAGCAAACUCGCUCUUUGUCCCUUAGUAAUUAUUAAACGUAAGUGUCCUCUGAAUUUACCAUAUUUUACUGGUAUAAAACAAGCCCCUUUAACAUCCACAGCCUGUUUGUUGUAGUCCACCAGAUGAAUAUUACAAGGUACUAUUGAAGGGCCAUUAUGAGCCCAUAACAAUGUAAAUGUCUCUUCUGAAAUCAAAGAAUGUACUUUCAUUUGGCACGGAACAUCUUGCAGCACAAUUUCAGUGUAAAUCUUCAGUCCUGAUGGCGAAUUUUCCACUUUAUUCACAUAGUCAUUUGAGUAAACACCUGUAGUCAUUUCACUAUCUGAAACGGUAUUUGGAGUAUUAACAGAGUGUGCUGCAGUUGGUAUUGUAUUUGCAUUCUGAUAUUGGGUUUGAAUUUCAAUGGCUUGUCUUUGGCAAACUGUCUGUAUGUGACCUGUACGUUUACAUGUGUGGCAAACUGCGAAAACGACAUGUAUUAUGCCUGUGUUUUCCACCGCAAUUAUAACAAGUUCCUUUAAUUGGAUCUGUGAAAUCCGUGCAUGGUGAAAAGUCCUUUGAUUUAAAGGACCACUAUAGUGCCCUGAGGGUGCCCCCACCCUCAGGGACCCCCUCCCGCCUGGCUCUGGAAAGGGGUUAAAACUUACCUUUUUCCAGCUCUGGGCAGGGAGCUCUCCUCCUCCGAUCCUCCUCUUCUCCUCCCCGUCGGCUGAAUGCGCACGCACGGCAAGAGCUGCGCGCCCAUUCAGCCGGUCACAUAGGAAAGCAUUCAUAAUGCUUUCCUAUGGAUGCUGGCGUGCUCUCACUGUGAAAAUCACAGUGAGAAGCACGCAAGCGCCUCUAGCGGCUAUCAAUGAGACAUCCACUAGAGGAAAUAGGGGAAGGCUUAACCCAUACAUAAACAUAGCAGUUUCUUUGAAACUGCUAUGUUUAUGAAAAAAUGGGUUAACCCUAGCUGGACCUGGCACCCAGACCACUUCAUUAAGCUGAAGUGGUCUGGGUGUAAGAAUAUUAAAUAGUUAACUUGUUUAUAUGUAUUUUAUGCUUUUAUAAGGUUUAUAAAUAUUAUUGCUGACUGAAAGGAUAUGAAAUAGUUAAACUCAAUGUACGACAUAAUAUGCUGACUUUGACAGACUAAGGUAUUUCUUCUAUAGGAUGUAAGACAAUGCUAAAAUCUUAGGAUGUCUUGCCCAUUCCGAUUUCAGGAUACUUUCCCCCAGACGUAUGCAAAAGCUUAUCUUUCCAUUGUCAGAAUAACAUGUAAUAUAAGGAAGUAAUAAAUCUUAUAGUCUGUACUGUAUUUGCAUAUACCAUGGCUAAUGUAAGCAAACUAUGUAUAAAAGCCAGCUCUGGAAUACACUCAUUUGAGAGUCUUGUCAAGUAUGCUGUUGUCCGUGUCUUAUUGCUGACAAUGAUUCUCCAUCAACAUUGAUUAUGGUGACCGAGGGAUCGAGAACCGAGGGGAUUAGAGUCCAUUACAGCAUUAACCCUUUCAGCUUGGUGUCAGAAGUGGGAUAGAAGUGGGAUCAGCAAAACCAUUGCGGUGAGUAGCCUUUUUGUAUCUUAUUUGACGCUGAUUGUCUAUGACCCCCCUUUGGUUCAGUAAGUCUGUAUCCAGUAGAUAGGAAAGGUGUAAGGACUCUAGUUAUAUUGAGACCAUGAGAGGUCUCCGGUUUAUAUUGAGACUAUAAGAGGUCUCCGGUUUAUUAGACAUUUGGUCUAAAUAUAUAGGGUUUUGGUAACCCAGGUUAGUAUCUAAGAUAGAUACAGGGUAUCUCAGGUAGAUACAGGUUUUUGAGACCAUAAGAGGUCUCCGGUUUAUUAUAGGGUUUUGGUAACCCAGGUUAGUAUCUAAGAUAGAUACAGGUUUUUGAGACCAUAAGAGGUCUCCGGUUUAUUAAGACUAUAGGUGUUCUGAGGAGCACGGUUUAUAGAUCUAUAAGUAUAACCCAAACUUCUCUUUCUCCCGGUCACCUUUGUUUGUCUUAAGUGUUCUUUGUGGGUGAUUGUUUGUCUAUAUUGGGGACACACUUUGGUAAGUUAGUAGUGUCCCCACUCUGAGUCAGCAGUAUGGGAAAUGUGAGUUCAGGUCCUGAGUGACCAAUAUAUGUAUGUAUAUAUGUGUGUGUAUAUGUAUAUGUGUAUAUAUAAGAUAGCAGUACUUUUAAACAAAUGGAGGUUUUACAUACAUUUAAGGAGAGAACGCAGGUAACUUGUUUUUCUUUGGUUUUUACCAUAUAUUGGGGCUGAUGUGUACUGUAGUCCUUGCUGCUGCCCAGUAGUGAUGGGAGUGAGCGCAGGACUUAUCUUUCUGCAAGAUAGCAGUACUGUAUAUUAGAAAAGAAAUGACUCACAGGUUGUACCUGAUAGACCUUCUUAAAUCUUUUUACUUUAUUCUUUCUGUCGCAUAGAAGUAUAAGUUUAUUACUCUGUUUUUUUGUAAGUUAUUUUACAUGGGAUCUGUGUGCCUGUGUGCCUGGUAUGAUUGUUGCUUUAAAAAUACCAUAAGCCCACUACACUUAUCAUGAGAGUGGGAUAGUGUAAAUGUGUUACAUUGUUUGCAUGAUGAGCUCAGUAUAUUUUAUACUGAGACAAAAAGGAAGCACUUCAUUAGUAUUUGAAAGUUAAUUCCCCAUAUGGGUUUAAUUGUAUAGAAACACCAAUCAGCACAUCUUCCCUGCCCUGUGUGUUUGUUGCAAAGGAUCCAUACUAAAUAUGAUUUUUGUUUGAAAAUAACAGAGCAACAUUUAAAUUUUCAGCGGUCCAACACAUGCUUUAUUUUGCGCUGUAAACUAACCUUUUUAUUGCAACAGAUUCCUUUUAAAUGAUCCAGUGUAAUAACUACUGCUUGUGUCUUCUAUGUCUCACAUUAUGUGUUGUUUUAAAUUGUGGUAUAUAGCCUGAAUCAGACAUCAUGGACAAAGGUUUUUACCUGUGUUACUAAGGGCUCUUGGAGACUGACCGGUCUAAAGGUUUGCCAUGCCUUUAAAACAUGGUAUAGAAUAAAAAAAAAUUUAAGUCUCUGAGAGUUCUGAAAGAUUCAGGUGAAACCAUGUCUGUGUAAUCUGGUCCAGAUGUUUGUUCAAUUUCCAUAAGAUUUAAGUUGAUGCAGCAUCAUCUCAGAUUAGUUAAUGGUAGUUUUAUACAAAUAGUUGAGUUAUGAGAGCGCUAUAUAAAUGGAUCCUUUCUUUAUAUACAAUACUAUAGUAAAUUAAAGUAAUGAAGUUAAUUAAGAAAAUGUAUACAUAAGAAUCCCUAAAAUAAAUCUAAACUAAAAUUGGUAUACCUUCCAAUUAAAUGUUCUGAAUACAGCUGUUAACUGUUUAUUCUGUGUAAAUGGUGAUUGUGAUAAUGUGUGCUAAGUGUGCAGUUUAACUUAAAAGUGGUUUAAUUUAUAUGUUGCUGUAUUGUUUUAAAUUAUAUGUGAAUCAGUUUGUCACAGUCUAGUGAUACUGAUAAGAAUGACAGCCAAAUAACCUAGCAAAUAACUGUUUUAUUAGUUGUUGUAUACUAGCGUUUUGGCCAAGAAUAGUUGGAGAUUUGGAGGUGUUAGUUUAAGAUUGCUUUUAUAUUGUGUCUAUCCGUGUUUCCUAGGAGGGAGACGAGUGUGUAGUUGUGUGCCCAUAAAUGUGAUUUCUGUAUUGGCAUAUCUGCUGGGUACCCAUUAUGUGUUUCUAUAAAGAUAUUGUUUUGUGAGAUGACGUGUAAUAUUACAUUGGAUGCUGAGUGUGAGUUAUAUGGUUUGAAAUGAAUUGGUGAUUAUGAGUUUAGUACUUCAGUAAAAUGUGCUAAAAUUUGGAACAAGGUGGAAGCUGAAAGGUUGGGAUUAUGGAAGAAUAAGCAGUCUAUAUUCACUGCUUUGGCAUAUAAGCAAGAUGCAAAGGAAGAGAUUGGUAAUAUGAUUUUUGUAAAGAAAUUUUACAAGUGUUGGAAGGAUGAGGCAGGUUUGAUGUCUGGAGACGAUAUAGAUCUCUUUAAAAUACAGUCAUGCCUUGGUAAUAUGUUGCCACAGUAUUCUUUGCUUGUGAAACAAUUGAUUUCAGACUGGGCCAAUUUGGAUAGCUGAGAUUUUCUUACCAAGGUUAAAGAAAAGGAAAAUGCAGGUUGUUUUGACUUAAGAAAAGAUUUAGGAAAGUAAGGUUGCUUAUUAUGCUCAGGGAUUGCAACACUGUCCACCUACACAGGCUGAGAGCGAGGAUGGGAUGGAGCACAUAAAGCCCGUGGAAGGGGUGGUCAAAGAGGGGCAAGGGGAUGGAGACAGGGAAAUCAGGGUUAUAGGGGCAGGGGUAACCAAGGAGGAAUAGACAGGAACACUUGUUUCAACUGUGGCCAAUAUGGCCACUGGAGGAAUGAGUGUCCAUACCCCAGGAAACCCCACACACCCCAACAACCCCACAAUUCUCAAAAUAUGCCCUGUAGGCAAGAACAACACCAGACCCACUCCCAACACCACUGGCCAGCAUAUCACUUAGUUCAGGACUUUAGAGCCCUGAAUAAUUUUAUUGUGCCCAUUUCACCCAUUGUCCCUGAUGUGACAUCCCUCAUUACAGCCAUUCCACAUGAUGCCACUUGCUUCACUGUCAUUGAUUUAAGUAAUACAUUUUUUUUUAUAUAUCUAUUGAUCAAGAGACACAGCUACUUAUGGUUUUUACUUUUUGAAGGCUGUCAGUUUACCUGGACACGCUUACCCCAAGGCUAUGUGGAUUCCCCAGCUGUUUAUUCGUUGGUACUCCAACAUACUCUAAAAAAAGAUGGACCACCGGUCAUGGUUCCGUCCUUUUUGCAAAAUGUUGAUGAUUUGUUGUUAUGUAGCCCUAGCUAUGAGGCAAGCACUGUGGAUACUGUCAGCAACUGUGGGUCACAAGGUUGUUAAACACAAAAUGCAAUUGUGUAAAUCAAAGGUUGAAUACUUAGGUUUUGUUCUGGCUUUAGGCACCAGACAAUUGAGUCCAAAAUGUAUUGAGGUCAUUCAGAGGAUUCCUACACCCACUAUUCGGAAGGAGUUGCUCACCUUCCUCGGCAUGAUUAAUUACUGCCACCAAUGGAUCCCUGAAUGCUCCCAUUAUGACUCAAUCCUAAGGGAGGCUGUACAUUCUGACAGCCCUGAAAAUGUCUGCUGGUCACCAGACAUGCUAGCUGCAUAUAUUGCCCUUAAAGUUGUUAUUGUGCAAGCCCAGGCUUUAGGACUACCUGUGCAUUGUAAACCAUUUCAUUUGUAUGCUUGGGACAAUUGUAAAACCAUGGCCGCGGUCUGUGCACAAGAGCAAGGAGGCGGUAUGCGUCCCAUAGCAUUCUUUUCCAAAAUAGUUCAAGCUCCGGUACAGGGUAUGCCGGCGUGUCUCAGAGCAUUGAUAGCAUGUGCAAUGGCUGUACUGCUACUACUAUCACACUAGGGCAUCCUACAAUACUUCAUGCCAGUCACCAGGUCACUCAGCUGACAAAUCUCACCACACAACACAUGACAGCCCAGCGCUUAAGUGGUUAUGAGAUUUUUUUUUAAUACCCAGAAUCUGUCUUUUGGAUUAAACAAGGUUUAGAGAAAGAUCAAAAUGAUCUGUUCUCUAAAGAGGGGAGAAUAGGCAUACUUGAAUCAAGCUGCUUUAUUUUCAUCAGUCAGGCACAUAGCAAGCACCAUUCAAUUCCUCAUGAAUUCAUUUUACAUUAGGAAUCUCAGGCAGCAUGUACAGUCUUUUGUAAGAUCAUGUGAACCAUGUAUGAAAACACAUCCAAAUAUUCCACACAAAUCACAGCACGAACAUUUGCCCCCUCCAGCUGCUUCUUUUACACACUUACAGAUUGAUUUUAUUCAUGUAUCCAAAAUUGGUAAGAAACAGCAAUACUUACUGGUCACAGUUGAUCAGUUUAGUAGAUGGCAUGAGGCCUUUGUGACAUCUAGGGAAGAUUCUAGUGAAGAUUAUUGUUACUGAAAUUAUUCCCAGGUAUGGUUGCCCUCUGCAGAUUGGCUCUGAUAAUGGCCCGGUUUUUGCCAGUGGGGUUGCCCAGGAACUUGCUAAAUUCUUGCAAGUUACCUGGCAGUUUCAUAUUCCCCUUCAUCCACAGAAUACAGGGGUAGUUGAAAGGAUGAAUAGGACUAUUAAGGAAAAGCCCAGAAUUUACCCAGGAACAUGGGUAAAUUGAACUAGAUAACUACCAACUAUUUAGCUGAGAUAAGAAUGAAUCCCCACAAGGUGACUAAAUUAUCUCCAUUUGAGAUUUUGAUGGGAUGACUUUUUCCCACACCCUGGGCCAGGGAACCGCUUGUUAUAAUGUCUGGGGAUUUACAGCUAAUACAAGAACAAUAUGUACAGGAAUUGUUGAUAAAACCGAAUGGUAUGUAUGACAAUGUUUCUUCGCAGUUUUCCCUUACCUUCACAGGAACCUACUCAUCCAUACCAGCCCGGUGACAAGGUGUAUAUCCGUCAGCUGAACAGGACCAAGAAAGGAGGAUACCCUUUUGGACCACCUGCUACUGUGAUUGCUGUACCCAGAACCGCUGUCCUCAC
rnacentral:lncRNA from 1 species